rnacentral:rRNA from 1 species
GUAGUCCACGCCCUAAACGAUGCUCACUAGGUGUUGGGGAAGCGAUUCCUUGGUACCGUAGCUAACGCGUGAAGUGAGCCGCCUGGGGAGUACGGCCGCAAGGUUAAAACUCAAAGGAAUUGACGGGGACCCGCACAAGCGGUGGAUGAUGUGGAUUAAUUCGAUGCAACGCGAACAACCUUACCUACCCUUGACAUGUCUGGAAGGCUGCUGAAAGGUGGCUGUGCCCGAAAGGGAACCGGAACACAGGUGCUGCAUGGCUGUCGUCAGCUCGUGUCGUGAGAUGUUGGGUUAAGUCCCGCAACGAGCGCAACCCUUGUCCCUAGUUGCUACGCAAGGGCACUCUAGGGAGACUGCCGGUGACAAACCGGAG